rnacentral:sRNA from 1 species
AAUGAUUAAUACUAUUUGGAGGAUAUUUUUACCCUAGAUAAAGCUAAAUUGUUUUUAUAAAAAGCUAUGAAAGAAAAAAUCGUUUACUAAGCAUUUUCCUAAUUCAUCUCGAUCGUCGAAGAAUAAACGCACAAAAUAUAGAAACUAAUAAAAAGUUUUAGGAUCGAUAUCUAUUUUAAUCUGACAGUAUGAGGGAAUUUUGAUAAAACCUAGCCAAAAUUUUAAAUAUUUCUGUAAAUUAAAUUUCUUAUCGGCUAUAAUGAGUAUACGAUAACGAUAUUUACCAGCAAGCUUUGACAUUAAUGAGCGCGCUGGUCCUAAGAUUUUUACGUUUGCUUUUGGUGCAAUUUGGACAAUCUUUCUGGCAAUAUCUAAAAUUUUAGACUCACUGAAACCUGACAAAAUUAAAGAUGCCGUUUUAGAAAAUGGAGGCAUAUUUGCUGCUUUUCUUAUUUCAAGUUCAUUUGUAAAAAAGCGAUCUUCAUCACCAACCUUAACAUAACUAAAAAUUAUAUUAUCAGGAUAAUAGCUUUGUAAAUAUACGACCCCUUUACUAUCUCCCCUACCAGCUCUACCACCUACUUG